AUGGCGACCGGCGCACGGGUGAGUAACACGUAUCCAACCUGCCGAUAACUCGGGGAUAGCCUUUCGAAAGAAAGAUUAAUACCCGAUGGUAUAAUCAGACCGCAUGGUCUUGUUAUUAAAGAAUUUCGGUUAUCGAUGGGGAUGCGUUCCAUUAUGCAGUUGGUGAGGUAACGGCUCACCAAACCUUCGAUGGAUAGGGGUUCUGAGAGGAAGGUCCCCCACAUUGGAACUGAGACACGGUCCAA
rnacentral:rRNA from 1 species